rnacentral:lncRNA from 1 species
GUCAAACAAAGUUCGAUUCCUUCUUUCAGACAUUCUUUUGAUUAGUGGUGUCCCAGGAGAGGUCCAUUGAGAGAGAAUCUAAUUCUUUUCAAGACAUGUCAAAAAUUUACUGUAAAGGUAUUCACUUCAUUGAUCAAAUUGAUUAGUUCUAAUACUCUUUACAGUUUAUUUUUCUACCUCAUUACAGAAUCAUUUGAAUAUUUCAACCGAUUCAAACUUGUGCUCC